UGUAAGCGUAUACCAAAGUUGUUGCAGUUAAAACGCUCGUAGUCGGAAUUUGGCAGUUCCGGAUGUGUGCACGUCGUGUGCGCACUUCGCGGGGAUUGCUUUUGUGGUCUUGCGUAGGAUGAGGCACUUUUAUUAGUGAACGUCCUCACGCAACCACUUUUUACUGUGAGAAAAUCAGAGUGCUCAAAGCAGGCAUUUGCCGUGAAUGUAUUAGCAUGGAAUAAUAGAAUAGGACUUGGUUCUAUUUUGUUGGUUUGUUGGGACUGAGUAAUGAUUAAGAGGGACAGUUGGGGGCAUUUGUAUUUCGGUGCUAGAGGUGAAAUUCUUAGAUUACCGAAAGACAAACUGCUGUGAAAGCGUCUGCCAAGGAUGUUUUCAUUGA
rnacentral:rRNA from 1 species